AAUAAAUAUAAAUGUAAAAUGUGAUAUCGUACAAUGCGAGCUUGCAUUUGUAACAUGAUUCUUCGUUCCUUCUUUUUUUGUUCGGCGUCAUUGUUGUUUCCUAUACUUCUUCUUCCCCCCUCACUUCGAAUGUAAAGAUCAAAAUAGGGUACAAGGUC
rnacentral:ribozyme from 14 species